CUCUGAUACCACUGUUAAUAAAUUGAUGGGUGUAGCAGACAUGCAACUAAAGUAAAAUUGAGAAAUAAUAAGACACAAAAUCACAAAGGGACACAAGAAAUUACGUGGUUCGGCUUUUAGCCUACGUCCAUGGGCGAAAACAAAAGAAAAAUAUUUUAUUAGUGAAAAAGAGUUACAAAUAUUGUAGUAUUUUAACUCACUACCCAAAAUCUCAAUACACCCAAAUUCUCAAAUCACUAAACUCUUAAAAUCACUCUCUAAAUAAAGAAAAAGAACUGAAGAACUCAAUGCACAAAAUGAGGAAAAUGCCCCUCCUUAUUUAGCUAAAAUUCAGCUACUGUGCAUUUUAUUAUUUUAUUUUUUUUCUUUACGCAGCCCAUCACUUCGUCUUUUGUUUCUUCUUCUUUUUCUUCUUUCUUCUUUCUCUUUUUUCUUCUUUCUUUAUUCUUUUUCUUCUUCCUCUUUUGUUUUCUUCUGCUGUACCGUACAUCCGCCUUGGCCGUACAGCAGAAUUGUGCGAAUUGUACCAUCAAACAUUUUGAUCUAAUGAGCAUUUUGGAGAGUUCGAAUAGCUCACACUUAUAAAAUUUAUUCUAUGAGUUGCAGCAAGAAGAUAAGUUUGGUUUCUUAAGGAAGUUAGUGGUGUGAUAGAAGCACUACUUCCAAUAUAUGGCAUCGGUUAACAAUGAUCCGAGCCCAUAAUUAGAAAAGAAAUAUUUGGUGAAGGAAAAAAUUUUGGUGCUCCUUUUCCUUUUACUCACUGCUAUAUAUAUAUUUCAACUAAUUAUAAUAUUAUAUAUAUAAAUAUGUAUAUUUUAAUCAAUCAUAAUAACUUGUUUUAUUAAAUCACCUACGAAAAAUUAGAUUAAAUGCGGGUGCCUUGCUUUAUAUGUGGCUAACUUUUAAAUUAGAUUAAAUUUAAUCGGUUGCGGCGAAAUGUCUUAGAUUACUCACUCUGCACAUAUCAUUUCAGACAAUUUAAUCUAAUUUAAUUUAAUAAAAAUACCCCUAUUAAAUUUAAUCUAAUUUACUAGUUAGCCACAUAUAAAGCAAGGCACCCGCAUCUAAUCUAAGACAUUUCACUUUGCUUUAUAUUGAAUUGUCAAAAUAGAAAAAGCUCACCACAAUGUAAAUUCAAUUUAAUAUAAAGCAAAAUGAAAUUGUCUGUAAUUGAAGUCACUUUGGGUAUUUCAAUAAUUAUUGCAUCAUCGGCGGCGCCGCCAGAAAAGCUCGCCACAAUGUCCUCGUCACUGUAUAUAUUGGGCAAUAAUCACUUGAUUUGCAUGACUGUUCGGCACACCUUAGCCCGUUUAUCAUUUAAUUAUUUGUACUUCCCAUAUUACCAAUAUUUAGCCGUAUUAUUGUGGAAAUGUCAAAGUAGGACACAGGUAAGGCAACCAAUCAUCAUCCUUCACAUUUUCAAUGUGUGCACUAAUUGAAGAUAUUUUGGAUGAAAGACGUACCACAAAAGAUCCACAACGCGGAUACAACAACGGACUAGUUAAAAUUCUAUCCCCAUUGUCCUGUUCAUUACACAUGGAGCUUCUAGGGUUGUCCUCCUCCUUGCUGAUCCUUCUAGCUAUUCUUCUCUCUGCCUUCACUUUGCUGAAACUAGAGAAGAAAUCAGAAACCAAUAACAGAAUCUCAAAUCUACCACCAGGACCAUGGAAAUUACCUGUAAUAGGAAAUUUGCACCAGCUGGCUGGCUCCCUCCCCCAUCAUGGACUAAGGGACCUGUCCAAGAAAUACGGACCACUUAUGCUUCUACAACUCGGGCAAGUUCCAACCGUUAUUGUAUCUUCCCCUGAAGUUGCCAAUGAAGUUAUGAAAGCCCAUGAUGUUAUCUUUGCAUCCAGGCCUCAUUUUCCUGCAGCACAAAUCAUGUCUUAUAAUUAUUGUGAUAUAAUUUUAUCACCAUAUAGUGAUUCUUGGAAACAACUGCGAAAAAUCUGUGUGUAUGAGAUUUUGAGCGCCAAAAGAGUCCAAUCUUUCCAAUCAGUAAGAGAAGCAGAGGUAUCUGAUCUCAUUAAUUGGAUUUCUUCAAAAGCUGGAUCCGUUGUUAACUUAACUGAGAACGUUUACUCAUUAAUGUACGGUAUCACUUCAAGGGCGGCCUUUGGAUACAGAUCCAGAGACCAAGAAGCAUUUGUCUCAGUUAUAGAGGAAGCAACAAAAGUGAUCUCAGGUUUUAAUAUUGCAGAUAUUUUUCCUUCCAUUGGAUUGGUUCAGUGGCUUACUGGAAACAAGUCUCAGGUGGAGAAACUGCAUCAAGAAGCUGACAGAAUAGUUGAAAACAUUAUCAAUGAACAUAAGAAGCGCAAGGAAACAUUGAAGAAUUGCAAGAUUGGUGAUGAUGAAGAUCUGGUUGAUGUUCUGUUGAAAAUUCAAGGGCUCGGAAAUUAUGGUUCUUCCUUGACUACAGACAACAUCAAAGCAGUAAUCUCUGUGAGUAACCAUACAUUUAAUAUCAUCAAUUCAAUUUUUUUUUUCCGUUAUGUUGUUUCUUUUAAUGUUAGCCUAGUGUUAUGUGAUAGGAUGAAUGAGACCAUAUAACUGUCUGCGAAAACUCAUUUACAUAAACACCGUUUCAGGACAUUUUUGGUGCUGGGAGUGAAACAUCUGCCACCACUGUGGAUUGGGCAAUGUGUGAAAUGAUAAAAAAUCCAAGAGUUAUAAAAAAAGCAGAAGCUGAGGCGAGGGAAGUGUUUAAUAGAAGGGGGAAAGUCGACGAAACGGGCAUUAAAGAAAUGAUGUACAUGAAGCUAGUUGUUAAAGAGACAUUGAGACUACAUCCUCCUGGUCCUUUGUUAUUGCCAAGAGAAUGUGGAGAGCGAUGUAAGAUUAAUGGAUUUGACAUACCUGUGAAAGCUAAAGUCAUUGUUAAUGCAUGGUCGAUUGGAAGAGAUCCCAAGUACUGGACCGAACCUGAGAGCUUUAUUCCAGAGAGGUUCCUCGAUUAUUCUGUUGACUACAAGGGGACUAAUUUUGCGUACAUCCCAUUUGGUGCUGGUAGGAGGAUCUGCCCUGGAACGUCAUUUGGUCUGGCCAGCGUGGAGCUUACACUCGCGAUGUUAUUAUACCAUUUCGAAUGGAAACUACCAAAUGGAAUGAAGCAUGAGGAUUUGGACAUGACUGAGGCCUUUGGCGCAACAGUAAGAAGAAAACAAGAUUUGUGUAUGAUUCCUAUUCCACACCAUCCUUCAUCUAUUGCAUAAGAAACUAAAGAAUAACUUUUGUAAAAGAGGAGUGCUUCAGAGUGGCUGCAUGAGCAGAACCAUAGAAAGGUAUUUUGUUUUCAAUCAUUUAUUGGAGAGAGUUAUUAUGUGAGAUUAUGGCUCAGGUUUCAGCAAAGACUAAUCUAUAUGAGGUUGAAAGCUUAUCCCUAAAAUCAUCUUCCGUCAUUGUUAUUUGUCAAAGCUUGGGCUUAUUCUGCUAGAGCUAUAGCAGAAAUUAAAUAAUACUUAAUGCAACUUCCUGCAGCAAGUAGUAUGUAGCACAUAAAAUGAGUUGAAGUUCAUUUUUAAUUCUUUUUUAAUGUUAGAAAUCAUAUCCUCCUUUUAUGUUCAUGCUACAGAGAAACAGAAUACUAAUUAUUUUUAUGAAAUGUCUUAGAUUGAUAUGUGUUAGUCUUAAUACCAACGCCCAAUAUCCAGCUGUAACUGGUGGUACUGGAGUGCCAUUUUAACAAGAAAGCAAAACCAAAGGUUCGGAAGAUGAAAGCUGACUAAUUUGAGCUAGAUUUACAUGAAUCGUAAGUAAAUAAUGACAUUCCUAUGUUAGCAUACCAGCAAAUGAAGUUGGAAAAAUCCUUGUAAUUGUCUUCAAAGGUUCUGAUAUAUAAAAAACUCAUAAACCGUUGAUGAAAAGUCUUUUAUUGAAUUGUUCUCCGUCUGCAACUUUUAUGCAUCAUUGUAUGGACAUAAAACAAGUUUUCGGUAAACAAAAAAGCUUCCGCUGCAUGAUUAAUUUCCCCAAAAAAUAUAAGGAAUUUUUUACUUGGUAAGAAAGAAUAACUAAGUAUUGCUGCAUGCAUAAAAUGUCCUCUGUUUUGUGCACUUGGGACAAGCUUUUCAAAAUGAACCUGUUCUAUUGCCGAUAAGGGGACUAAAUUUGAAUAAAUCCCAUUUGGGGCUAGUGAGAGGAUAUGCAGCCCCCGAAUGUUAUCUGAUCUUGCCACUGUUGAGCUUCCACCUGCAAUGCUGCUGUACCAUUUUGACUUGGAACCUUGAGCAAUUUAUUUGAACUUCAACGAGUCCUUUGAUAUGAUAGUCUGGAGAAAAGAUGAUCUGCACUAAAUCCGAUUUCCUUGUCAUCAUUUAUAACAAGGAAAAUUGAUGCAUAUAAUCAAAUAUUAAACAAUAUCAAACUCUAAUAAUACUGGAGGGCAAUACCACAGGUAAGAUAUCUUACAAGAUAUUUCAUUGAAUAAUCUUGUGUUAAUCUGUCCUUUGCUUUCUCCUCUGUUCCUGGAGGAGGGACUAGCCAUGUGGUAACUAUAGCAGGUCCACUUGCAUGUUCAAACGCCAUGGUUGACAAACUCAAUUGAAUAGUAUAAGAUUAUCUAAAAUAGUGCUGACGGCUGACCUCGAGGAUCACUACAUCGUAUCUUUAAUUUAAUUCUCUAAGAUAAGAGGUUUGGUUUCGAACACCAUCCAUUGACACUAGUAACAGAAUUAAGUUGUCGUUGGGCUAAAUAAUACGAAUAAUAAGAAUUCUCUUUAUAACUAACAAUUAAGGUAGGGAGAGCUGUAAGCAAGAGAUUUGUUCUCUGAAUUAAUCUAAUCAUGGACCUCGAAUUUCCCACCUUCCAAAUCUUUCUUGCUUUUGUUGUCUUUGUUUGAAAGUUAAGAUUUGCAACUGUAAUAUGUGUUUGGGAACUAAGAAAAUGAAAGGAAUACUUUGAAGUUUUUAUUUUAUAUAAUUCUCGAUUACAAACAAAGUAAAUCAAUCUUAGCUUAUAUACAAAACUAUAAUCAGAGAGCUAAACUUAUUAAGUAAGCUUAACUACAAAACAGAAUGAAAAGCAUGCUCCAACAAACUUGCUGAGCUGGCAAAGCUUCUUAACUGACUCUGCUGAUUUCUGCUUUGACUCACACGUGCUGACUGAGCUGAUCCUUCUGCUGUACGGCCAAGGCGGAUGUACGGUACAGCAGGCUCAAGGGGCAUGUUUGCACAUUGAGUUUGGCUCGAAAAUAAUUGAAAUGGAUAAAAGUGAGUGGCUUAGUCAAGAGGUCUGCAAUCUGCUCUUCACUGGGAAUGUAUCUGAUUUCCAGUUCUUUGGCUAAGACUUUAUCUCUAAUGAAGUGCAUGUCUAAUUCAAUAUGUUUUGUUCUUGAAUGAUAGACAGGAUUCUUAGCUAGUUCUAUUGCACUGACAUUAUCACACCAGAUCAUAGGAAGAGAGGAACAUUCAAUACCAAGUUCAUCAAACAGUGACUGAAUCCAUGAGAUUUCUGCACUUGCAGCUGCAAGGGCUCUGUACUCACUCUCUGCACUGGACCUAGCAACCACUGACUGUUUCAUGGAUGACCAAGAUAUCAAGUUACUUCCCAAAUAAAUGCAAUAAACACCUGUUGAUUUCCUGUCAUCAAUGUCACAGGCCCAAUCUGCAUUAGUGUAACCUGAGAGCUUCAUUUCUCCUUCUGUGGAAAACUUUAAACCAAAAUCUUCAGUCUCUUUUAGAUAUCUAAGAACUCUUUUGCAUGCAAGGAUAUGUUGAAGUGUAGGUGCUGACACAUACUGACUUAGCUUGUUUACUGCAUAAGCUAUUUCUGGUCUUGUUAGCACUAAAUACUGCAACCCUCCAACAAGGCUUCUGUAACCAGUAGGAUCUUCAACAUACUGACCCAAAUGACUCUUAGCUUCUUUCUGGAGCUUUACUCCUGUCACCAUUGGAGUGUCACACCCUUCACACUCUAUCAUAUCAGUUUUGUUCAACAGAUCCCUGAUAUAUUUUCUCUGAGACAGGUAAAUAUUAUCUGCAGUAUAAGAGACUUCUAUACCAAGAAAAUACGACAGUUUCCCCAAGUCUUUCAGAGCAAACACUUGACUGAGUUCCAAAAUAAAUUGCUCCAGCUCAGCACUAUUAGGACCUGUGAUCAGUAUAUCAUCCACAUAUAUCAAAACAAAGAUUAUUGAGUCCUGUUUUCCUUUACAGAACAAGGAUGUAUCAGCUCUUGAUUUUCUGAAUCUCCACUUGGUAAUUAGAAUAUCUCUCAACUUAUCAUACCAAGCUCUUGGAGCUUGUUUUAAGCCAUAUAAAGCCUUCUUUAGUUUGCAGACAUAGCUAGGCUUCUGCAGAUCAACAAACCCCUCAGGUUGACACAUAUAAACAUCUUCUGUCAGCUCCCCAUUUAAGAAUGCAUUAUUUACAUCCACUUGCCUAAUUGUCCAUUUAUGCAUUGCAGCUAAACUCAACAUAAUUCUCACUGUAGAAGAUUUCACAACAGGGCUGAAUGUUUCAAAGUAAUCUACACCCUCUGUUUGUUGAACACCUUUUGCAACUAACCGAGCUUUAUACUUAGCUAUGCUUCCAUCACUGUUUUGUUUGACUCUAAACACUCACUUAUUGCCUACAACUUUGUGUUCAGCUGAAGAUGGAACUAAUAACCAAGUCUUAUUCCUGAUUAAAGCCUCAUACUCAUCACUCAUGGCUUGAUGCCAGUUCUUAUCACUGAGAGCUUCUUGGACUGUAUCAGGUUCUUUAUUGACUAAAGCUGCUGUAUAUAAUUUUAGUUUGAAGAUACCAGAUUUGGAUCUGGUAAUCAUUUGGUGAAAAGGUUUCUGAGUCUGGCUUGUGUUUAAGGCAUCAGGGAUAGUAAUUUGUGGCUCAAAUUGUUGUUGGGAAGCUAUGUGAGGUGAUGAAGAUUCUGUUAAAGAAUGAUUAUGUAUCUCAUGAUGUAAAAUAUUUGUAUGUAAAGAUGAUGAAGAUACCUGUUCACUUCUUGCUGAGUCUGCUGAGAUAUUUUCUUCAAGGCUGCUAUCAGAGGUAGAAAGUGUUGAUAGAUGAAAGAUUUGUUGCUGAGUAAAGGAUGACACAGGAAUUUCAGAUGAGGAUGUGUUUUCAGAAGAAAAGAUGUUGUUGGUCAGGUAAGGAAAUGUAGUUUCAUCAAAGAUCACAUGUCUAAGUAUAUGAACCCAUCAAAGAUCACAUGUCUAAGUAUCACUUGUAACCUUUAUAAGAUGGGCUGUAUCCAAUAAAGAUGCAUUUUCUUGUAUGAAAAUCAAACUUAUGCUUGUUAAAAUCCCUCAAAUAUAGAUAACAAAGACAACCAAAACAUUUUAGGAAGCUGUAAUCUGGUUUGUGUUUGAAUAAUUUCUCAUAAGGAGACACAAACUUUAGCACAGGAGUAGGCAAUCUAUUUAUGUGAUAAACUGCAGUGUGAAUAGCAUCCCACCAAAACUUAAAGGGCAGAUCAGCUUGAGCUAAUAAUGUCAAUCCCAAUUCUACUAUAUGUCUAUGCUUUCUCUCAACCAAACCAUUUUGAUGGUGAGUAUAUGGACAUGAAUGUCGAAAUAUGAUCCCAUUUUGAUUCAAGAAAUCAGUGAACACUCUAUAUUCUCCCCCCCCAGUCAGAUUGCAACAUCUUGACUUUAGUACUGACCUGGUUUUCUACUUGGAUCUUAAAGAGUUUAAAAACUGCAAAAGCAUCUGACUUAAGCUUGAGUGGAUAAAUCCAAGUGUACCUACUGUAGUCAUCCACAAAACUGAUAUAAUAUUUGUAUCCAUUCCUAGAAAUAGUAGGUAAAGGCCCCCAAAUGUCAGUAUAUACCAGUUCCAGAACCUGUGUACUUUUAGUUUCAGUAAUGGGAAAAUGUUGUUUAUGAGUCUUUCCUAAUUGACAAGCAUCACAGAGAGAAGAUGAAAGAGUUUUAGAAUAGACUUUAAAUUGCUUACAAAGCAAAUGCAUUAAUAUUGCUGAAUUUGGAUGACCAAACCUUCUAUGUAAUAAGGUCAGAUCAUCUGGUUUUUGAUUACAAUCAUUUGAAAAUGAGUUAUUACAAGUUGUAGUAAAAGCACUACAAUUUUGAUGAACAGAAGAAACAUUUGAAACUGACAGCAUAAAAACUGGCUUAUUUAUCUGAGAUUGUGACAGAUGAGAUGUAGGUGAGGAAGACUGAGGCUUAGGUUUCAAUAGUAGCUUGUAGAGACCUUUCUCAGCAGAGCCCUGCAGAAGAACCUGUCCCUUCAUGUCCUUUACAAAACAAAAAUUUCCACAGAAUUCAACAGAGAGAGAAUUUUCAGAGGUGAGUUUAGAGAUGCUUAACAAAUUUUUAGUUAUUGAAGGAACAAACAACAUGUCUUUAAGUGCUAUAACAAGAUGUGAAGAGUGACAGUUUGAAGCUCUAAAUGAUAAGAAAGUAUGUCCAACAUGAGAGAUAAAUAAGCCUUUACCAUUUCCAAUGAUGAGCUGAUCAUAUGAGCUGAUCAUUACCUUUAUACUCCUCUCUGAGCUGCAGAUUUUCCAUAUUGUUUGUUAAGUGGUGAGUAGCUCCACUAUCCAAAUACCAGCCAUCAUCAGCAACUCCUUCAAAAUUUGCCAUAUAUGCAGCUCCAGAAUUGUAAGCAUCACCUCCAGAAUAAGGAUAAGCUCCAGAAGUAGGAUGAAAAUUUGGUGACAUAUAGUUGAAACAAUCAUAUUCUUCACAGCUGGGAUGUGAGUUGAAACUCUCAAAAUUAGCAAAGUAUGCAGAUCUUGGCCCUUUUCCCUUAUUGAAAUUUCUUGGGGUAGGAGUAUAGUCUUCUAUAAAUCUAUGCCAGCAGAUGUCAGCUGUAUGACCAGCUUUGAAACAGAUCUGACAAGUGGUUUCUUCCAUAGCUCCAGUAGAUCCUGUUGAUCCAUUCAUUCCAACAAAAUGUACAUGAAGCUAGUUGUUAAAGAGACAUUGAGACUACAUCCUCCUGGUCCUUUGUUAUUGCCAAGAGAAUGUGGAGAGUGAUGUAAGAUUAAUGGAUUUGACAUACCUGUGAAAGCUAAAGUCAUUGUUAAUGCAUGGUCGAUUGGAAGAGAUCCCAAGUACUGGACCGAACCUGAGAGCUUUAUUCCAGAGAGGUUCCUCGAUUAUUCUGUUGACUACAAAGGGACUAAUUUUGCGUACAUCCCAUUUGGUGCUGGUAGGAGGAUCUGCCCUGGAACGUCAUUUGGUCUGGCCAGCGUGGAGCUUACACUCGCGAUGUUAUUAUACCAUUUCGAAUGGAAACUACCAAAUGGAAUGAAGCAUGAGGAUUUGGACAUGACUGAGGCCUUUGGCGCAACAGUAAGAAGAAAACAAGAUUUGUGUAUGAUUCCUAUUCCACACCAUCCUUCAUCUAUUGCAUAAGAAACUAAAGAAUAACUUUUGUAAAAGAGGAGUGCUUCAGAGUGGCUGCAUGAGCAGAACCAUAGAAAGGUAUUUUGUUUUCAAUCAUUUAUUGGAGAGAGUUAUUAUGUGAGAUUAUGGCUCAGGUUUCAGCAAAGACUAAUCUAUAUGAGGUUGAAAGCUUAUCCCUAAAAUCAUCUUCCGUCAUUGUUAUUUGUCAAAGCUUGGGCUUAUUCUGCUAGAGCUAUAGCAGAAAUUAAAUAAUACUUAAUGCAACUUCCUGCAGCAAGUAGUAUGUAGCACAUAAAAUGAGUUGAAGUUCAUUUUUAAUUCUUUUUUAAUGUUAGAAAUCAUAUCCUCCUUUUAUGUUCAUGCUACAGAGAAACAGAAUACUAAUUAUUUUUAUGAAAUGUCUUAGAUUGAUAUGUGUUAGUGUUAAUACCAACGCCCAAUAUUCGGCUGUAACUGGUGGUACUGGAGUGCCAUUUUAACAAGAAAGCAAAACCAAAGGUUCGGAAGAUGAAAGCUGACUAAUUUGAGCUAGAUUUACAUGAAUCGUAAGUAAAUAAUGACAUUCCUAUGUUAGCAUACCAGCAAAUGAAGUUGGAAAAAUCCUUGUAAUUGUCUUCAAAGGUUCUGAUAUAUAAAAAACUCAUAAACCGUUGAUGAAAAGUCUUUUAUUGAAUUGUUCUCCGUCUGCAACUUUUAUGCAUCAUUGUAUGGACAUAAAACAAGUUUUCGGUAAACAAAAAAGCUUCCGCUGCAUGAUUAAUUUCCCCAAAAAAUAUAAGGAAUUUUUUACUUGGUAAGAAAGAAUAACUAAGUAUUGCUGCAUGCAUAAAAUGUCCUCUGUUUUGUGCACUUGGGACAAGCUUUUCAAAAUGAACCUGUUCUAUUGCCGAUAAGGGGACUAAAUUUGAAUAAAUCCCAUUUGGGGCUAGUGAGAGGAUAUGCAGCCCCCGAAUGUUAUCUGAUCUUGCCACUGUUGAGCUUCCACCUGCAAUGCUGCUGUACCAUUUUGACUUGGAACCUUGAGCAAUUUAUUUGAACUUCAACGAGUCCUUUGAUAUGAUAGUCUGGAGAAAAGAUGAUCUGCACUAAAUCCGAUUUCCUUGUCAUCAUUUAUAACAAGGAAAAUUGAUGCAUAUAAUCAAAUAUUAAACAAUAUCAAACUCUAAUAAUACUGGAGGGCAAUACCACAGGUAAGAUAUCUUACAAGAUAUUUCAUUGAAUAAUCUUGUGUUAAUCUGUCCUUUGCUUUCUCCUCUGUUCCUGGAGGAGGGACUAGCCAUGUGGUAACUAUAGCAGGUCCACUUGCAUGUUCAAACGCCAUGGUUGACAAACUCAAUUGAAUAGUAUAAGAUUAUCUAAAAUAGUGCUGACGGCUGACCUCGAGGAUCACUACAUCGUAUCUUUAAUUUAAUUCUCUAAGAUAAGAGGUUUGGUUUCGAACACCAUCCAUUGACACUAGUAACAGAAUUAAGUUGUCGUUGGGCUAAAUAAUACGAAUAAUAAGAAUUCUCUUUAUAACUAACAAUUAAGGUAGGGAGAGCUGUAAGCAAGAGAUUUGUUCUCUGAAUUAAUCUAAUCAUGGACCUCGAAUUUCCCACCUUCCAAAUCUUUCUUGCUUUUGUUGUCUUUGUUUGAAAGUUAAGAUUUGCAACUGUAAUAUGUGUUUGGGAACUAAGAAAAUGAAAGGAAUACUUUGAAGUUUUUAUUUUAUAUAAUUCUCGAUUACAAACAAAGUAAAUCAAUCUUAGCUUAUAUACAAAACUAUAAUCAGAGAGCUAAACUUAUUAAGUAAGCUUAACUACAAAACAGAAUGAAAAGCAUGCUCCAACAAACUUGCUGAGCUGGCAAAGCUUCUUAACAGACUCUGCUAAUUUCUGCUUUGACUCACACGUGCUGACUGAGCUGAUCCUUUGACUGCAGCAUGAGCUUCCUUAACAGUCUUUAUCUUUACAAUGCUGAAACUAGAAAAGAUAUCCAAAACCAAUAACACAAUUUCAAAUCUCCCUCCAAGCCCAUGGAAGUUACCAGUAAUCGAAAAUUUGCACCAGCUGGUUGGCUCUCUACCCCAUCAUGUCUUAGAAACUUGGCCAUAAAGUAUAGACCUCUUAUACACUUACAACUUGGAGAAGUUUCCACCAUUAUAGUAUCUUCUCCGGAAUUCGCCAAACUGUUUGGGGGAUAAAAGCGGAGCACGACCAGAGGCUUGCUCGCAUGAAUCUUCCUUCCCUCGUCUAAAGCGAGAAGAUUCACUCGAGGAUAAUUUUCCUCGACUUCGCAAAGAAAAAGAUCGAGCACAGGUGGGAGACCGGACUGAAGCGAUGAGAUAACCUGCCCUAAGACACGACUGAGACUUGGUUAAAGGCCUACCCACGAUUUCUCCCAAGAUAUCCGGGCACGAAACCAAUCCACUAACAGUCGAGUAAUGCAUCCACUAACACUCAUGUAGUAUACCCAUUAACAAUCGCGCAUCAAUAUUGGGUGUAGUGGUUUUGGCUGCCUAUAAAAGCCCCAGCCACGUAAGUAAGUUUCUCUUCUUUUCUUUUUUUAGAAAAUCCCCACUCUCUCUCUUUUAAUUUUUAGAGAUCAACUAAAAAAACUUUCUUAUUAGAAAAGCAAACAAAAUUAAAGCAUGUGAGAGGUGGCAAAACUUUUUCCCAAAAUGCCCAAUUACUGACUUAGGCGUCGAAGUUUUCUUGUCGGAAAAGCAUAUGGCACCGUCUUCCUAAUUUUUUAUGAGUUCAGGUAAUUGAGUAAGACAAGUUAGUGAUCGAUCAUAUCUGCUCGAGUAUAAAGCAACAGUGUUAACCAUCCCUGCGAUAAAACAAAUUUAAGUGUUGACGUAGACGCCUGGUCGCAUCAACAACGACUAGAUUUCAACAUCAACAUUUUGGCGCCGUCUAUUGGAAAUGAACAAAAAGUUACAACCAACGGAGCAAUUUAAGAAAGAGAAAGGGAAUGAACAUGGAUACGGGAGGAAAUAAUGCCUAAAGGGUGGAGUCUAGAAUAAAUAAGCCAAUCACUUUGCGGGAAAUAGAGAAUGAAGCAAGGGAGAGAACAAUCCAUGAACGGAUGGAAUAGAUGGAGAGACAAAUGGAGACCCUCAUAGCUGUUUUACAUGAGUUGAGGGACGGGCAAAGAAGACUUGGUGGAGGAAGUCUAGGGAUAAUCAAGAUGUUCCAGAACCCAACAAUAGAGCAAAUCGAGGCGAACGGAAUCCAGGAAUUAGAAGUCAGCUUUACUUUAAACCAAAUCCUAGCGUUGGGAGUUAAUUUCAUAUUGAGCAGAACCUCGAGGCAGGAAAUAGUUCCAUGAAAAACAAAAGCUGGAUAAUACUGGCAAAGAAAAGAAUCUCAAGGAAAGAAAUUGAGACAACAUCUGCAUGAUGUAGAACGAGAGCGCGAAUGAGUCGCUGUAUGCAAUCCUGGUCGAGCAAUAAAAUUAGAAGGAGAGGUGCAAAGGCUAGCUCAGAUUAUCGAUGAGACGCAAGGCCGGGGAAAGCCUCCAAGCUAGAGGAUCAUGUUGAACAACAAGUCCCUUCUCUCCGCAGAAAUUAUGAGCACCACGAUACGUAAAGAUUUCCAUUUUCCCAAUCUCAAAUUCUCCAGGAAAAGCAAUCCUCUGGUACACAUUGAACAUUUCAAUGACAUGACGAAGGUACAGGGCUUGACACAGGUGCAAAGAUGUAGAGCAUUAUGAGCGAGCACAUGAAUGGUAUCGUUGGUUGCCCCGUGGGAGUAUUAGGAGUUUCAAGCAUAUGCGUAUAGAAUUUGCAAAGUAGAUUUAAGGAGCAAUUGCAUUAGAAGAUGAUAUGAUUGACCAGAUGGGGAUUAAGUAGGGAGAUGAUGAGCCCGUCAGGGAAUUUGUAAAAAGAUACCAUGUAACACCCCAAUUCCACUAACAAGGUAAUAUGGUGAAAUUGAAGUGUAACUGCAUUUCAUUAUUCUCAUCUUUAAAACUUUCAAAGUAAUAACCAACAAUAAAUGUUCUAAACCUCUAAAAGAAUAUAAAUAAAUUUUAAAAUAACAUAUCCUUAAAUAAAUAUCAUCCCAAAAGAAACUAAAUUGUUCUUAUAUUAUCAACAUAACAUUAAUCUCCAAAAGAAAUAGAGCUCUUAUUUUUCCUUCUAAGACUAUGAGCUCACAUCAUCUAACUCUAUCUACAAAAAUAUGAUAAUGAUGGGUGAGCCAUCAAUUCGAUAAGUAAAUUCAUGCACAAUACUAAAAAUCAUUAAAAUAUAAUUUAAUAAAAAAUUUUAGAUAUACAUAAUAAUAAGAGAAAUUACCUUUGUAAAUCAUCAUUUAGGAAAAAUAAAUCACAUCAUCAUAAAGUCAUUGAAAUCCUUUAAACAUAACAAAAGCAUUUUAAACACAUAAAAUAUAAUUUACUCAUGCCACAUAGUAUCACUUGUAGACCCGGUGACCCGGCCAUAUAACAUCAUUCAAGGUAUUGUACCCGUGGAAAUCAUUAACAUUAACAUCAUAUGUACAUAAAAUCCGGAUAGCCUUCCAUAACAUAAUAUAACAUAACUAUGAACAAUAAGCCAAAACAUUUAAAAUCAUCCUUGAACUUUUAAUCAUUUGAAAACUUUCGUCAAUUACAUUUAGGGUGCGUUUGGUAUUCUGUAUUGUAUUAUACUGUAUUGCACUAUUUUAAUGCCGGUGUAUUGUAUUAUGUUGUAUUGUGUUAACAUUGUAUUAUAACAAUGCUAUACAAUGUUUGGUGUUAUAUUGUACUGUAUUAAUUUUUAAUUAGACUAUAUUUGGUGUUGCAUUGUAUUGUAUUAAUUUUUUGUGAUUAAUUAAAUUAAAUAACUAAAAAAAUAAUAUUUAUUAAUACUUAGAAAAACAAUAAAUAUAGAAAUCUUAAAUUGUAGAAAUUUAACAAUUUUUUUAGUAAAUGUUAAAAAUUAAUGAUUAAAUUUCUAAAAUUUGUAUUAUAAUUAUAAUAAAAUAAAAUUUAUAAUUGAGGCAAAAAGCUACCGCAUUACGCAAACCCAAGGUUCCCUCGGGUUUGCGCAAUGCGGCCCCAUGCCUCAUUAUGGUGCAUUAUAAUGCAGAAUAAUGAGGUCUCAAAUUUCGCCAAACAUCUCUUUAGUAAUAAACUAAUGUGGACAGUAUUAUAAUAUAACACAAUCCCAUACACCAAACACACCCUUAAAUAACUGAUAAUUAUUUCAAAGUAUUUGACUUAAAUAAUUUAAUAAAGGUUUUCAUUUUUAAGAUAAUAUAUAAAACAAGUUUUUAAUAAAUAAAGUUUUGCUAUAAAUAAUUUUAAAGAAUGAAUUUUACUUAACAAAAUAUUGAAAUAAACUAAACAAAUCAGUUUCAUAUACUUUUCAUUCAACAUAAUACAUACCUUGAGUUAAAAGUAUUUUAAUAGUGAAAUACAUGUACCAUGCAUGAAUUUACUUACCUUGAUCUUCAGCAAUAAAAAGAACGGUAACCUCAACCACAAGUUCACUCUUGUCCUAAAACAUCAAGACACAUUCUUAUCAAUAUUAUUGCUCAUUCUGACCUUGAAAUAAAUCCAACAUAUUGAAGCCUAAUCAUAAGUACUAAACCAUCAAAGCUAGUUUAAACUUCACCAUUCUAUAUAAGCUGAUUUUUACUAAGCUAAUCAUAUGUCGGAAAAUUGUAAAAAUUCAAAAAGAAACCAUAAAAAUGGGUAACAUUUCACAUAAAAAUUCAAAAAAAUGAAUAAAGGUCAUAAACAUAUUGUAAAAAGAAUUUUACAUGUAAAUGUCCACACUGUCCAGUAGUGAUAAAAACAUAAACAGUUGAAUUAGAAAAUUUGUAAAAUAUUUAAUAAAACUCAUAAAAAUUAGACCACUUGAUAAUUCAUAAUUUUAUACGAAUAUAAUUUUUAUAGGCCAUUCUAAAGCCUUUUAAUGGCCUAAACUAAUUUCACCAUCAACAAUCCAAUUCUGGAAAGCAGUUUCUAGAACUACAGCAGCCCAACAUAAUGUUUUUUAGUAAUUUUUCUACUCAUCCAAAAGUUAUGAAAUUAAACAUGCAGUAAGUAGACAUAAUGAAGAUUAGAAAAAAAAAAAUCAACAUAAUUUUCAGAGAUUAUUUGGGUAGACGGAAAAAUUGCAAAAUCAGACAUGCUGCUGAAAAUCGAAAUUUUCCACCACCACUGUUCCAACUUCGAAAAUUCACAACAAAUUGAUUACUUGAAAUCUCUUUGCACGAAAUAUAUCAAUGAAAAACCUUAGGAUGUAUUCUUUUGAAAGAUUUCAUGAAAGAAUUGAAUCAAAAUAAAAGGAAAACAAUAAUUAAAUCACAGUACUCAUGCCUCAUAAUGCCUAACUAGUCAUUCUUGAUAAAGAGAACAAAGCAUGCAUUCCUCAUCAAACACAUAAGAUCAGUGAACAUGUAUUAGAGAAGGAUAAUUACCUCAAAAAUUAUUUCAAACGGGCAUAAAAGAAAACCCUAGAAUUUUUUGCUUUUAUAUGGUUGUUAGGUUAAAGAGGUUUAAUCGUAAGAAGAUAGGAAGAGUUUAAGUUUUAUAAAAAUACUUGCUUUUAUAAAAAUAUAUUAUGUGAUUAUUUGAUUAAGAUGAUAUUCUAUGAUAAUUUUUAAAAAUAAAUAAAUAAAUAAAAGAAUUAUACUUUAUCUCAAAUAGUGCUAAUUAAAAUUGAUUAACACAAACAACGACAAAUAACUAAAUAGGUAAGCAUAAACAAACAAACAAAGAAACAAGGAACAUGUGUUACAUACCACCGAGCAGUUCUGGAUCUUAUAGCCUUCAAUCAUCCUCAAGCUUUGAAAAGACUAAAAGAAUGAAUCAAGAUUGGGCAAUUAUGGUAUAAUAUGAUAAGUCCCGUGAUACAGUCGUAUUCUGUUGAUUAUGAGCAGACGAAGAGAGACAUUGAAAUCGAAGAGGAAAAAGCAACAAGGGUUAGAAGCGAGCAAUUGGAGAGCUUAGGCGAAACGAGAAAUGAGGGCAGACAAACACAGGUCUUGAAACGACCCACCCUGAACCACCAGGGUGAGUCUAUCUAGUCUUAUCAAAACUGACUUGAUAAUAAUCUAAUUAGUAAGGAUUCUACCAAAAAUUCGACAAAGUCUUCUCUUUAAAUAUAACACUCUCAAUCCACAAAUAUGUAAAUCAAGCACUCACAAAAUAAUUCAAUAUACAACCAACUCCAAUGAUCAACAUCCUCAACGAAAAUGCUGAAUUUUACUCAAGAUAUCUCCAAAAUAUCAAAGGAUUAUAUUAUAACUAAUAUUAAUAGACAUUAGUUUAUUCUUAAUCCCAAAAAAAUAAUAUAACAAAAUUAUACAAUCCUCAAAAGAAUGAGAUGAUCAGGAUGUCCUAACAAAAAUCAUCUAUAUCUUCUAACACCAUCACGUGGCCAAGAUUCAAAAUAUAUUUACAGUCACUGGGUCAAUCUAGUGUACCUGCAACCUCCUAUUGGGGGGGGGGGGAAUAUGCCAUAUGUAAGAAACCAUUAAUAAAACAUUUAACAUUUAAAUCACAUUACUAACCUUGAAAAGCAUAUAUAAUAUCAUACCUAAUAACCAUGGAAAUCAUAUCACAAUAUCAUAUUGCAUACACAAAUAUGAAAAUCAUCACUAAACAAGUACCCAAGGGAAUAAUCUCAUCGUAUCUGAACCUCAAUGGACGGGCAAUGACGUACUAUCUAGGUACCGUCACGCCCCAGAGCUAUACGGAUAGACAGGAAAAUAUCAUCUCAUAUCUCAUCAUAUCUUUGCAAGUAUAAUCUAGUCCCCAAAGGACAAGAGCGCCCAGGCACACGGCCCAAAGCCUCUGUGUGUCUCAGACAGGCUCAAAGGCUUGUAUCUCAUCUGUAUAUGUAUUAUUGUUAUCAUCAUAUCACAUGCAUAUGCCCCUAAAAGGCAGAAGCACCCAAACACACAGCCCAAAGCCUUUAUCUGUGUUCAGACGGGCCCUAAAGACCUCUCAUCUCAUAUGUAUCACUAUAUCUGGAGGGAAAGGGUAUAUUGUCCAAUGAUUUAAAAAAAACAAUAUCUAUACACAUAUUCAUAUACAUUUUUACCAUAAGUUAAGUCAUGCUCUUCUUUUCAUCAUCACAUCUAAAUUCACUUUUCUUUUCUUUAAAAAUACUAUCAUAUUUUAUUCAAAGUCGAUACGAAAAACCAUUAACCAAACAUUUUAAUAUAAUAUCAAUGCAUGAAUAAAAUCGAUUUCGAGAAAAUCAUUAAAUCAAAACAUUUAAAAUACUUAUUUCCCAAAUAUGCUUUACUAUAAUAAUUAACUAUGAAAAUGUGUUUUAUGUAUUCCACUCACAGUGACGAUAUUCACGCUUGGUUAUUGUCCACGUCCGCAGACUGGUUCUCGCUUGCAAAUCCUCCGAAAUUAAAGAAACGACAUAAUUAUUUUCUGUAAAUCGGAAUUAGGACUAAAUCUAUGCAAUAAACUCGAAACGAACAUCUAUCCAUAAUUUACAACUCUAAUGUCCAUAGAAUUACCAAAAUACCCUCGAAUCUGUAAAUCAUUAAAAUACUCUGAAAUCGUAAAUCACUGAUUACCCUCGAAAUCGUAAUUACACCCAAUCCUCAAUUUAAAAAAUACUAAAAUCUCCACAGGGUCAGAAAUUACAAAAUCGUCCUCAAAAUGUGAAAUUAUCGAAUUGCCCUCAUCGUUCAACGGUGGUCGAGAAGCUCCGGUUUGAUAGUUCCAACCACGCUGAGUCUAAUAGUGUCGGCUAGGGGUGGGCAAAAUCAGGUUCGGGUCAACCCGAUUGGGUUUUGGGUUUUUCGGGUUAGACAAAAAUUAAUCUGAACUUAACCCGAAUUAGUGACCCGACCCGAAUAUAAUUCGAGUCGGAUCGGGUCGGGUCACUAAUUCGGGUUAAGUUCGGGUUAGAUUUAAAUAACUAAUAAUUUAGCAUAAAUAACUAUUAAACUAUAUAUAUAUACCAUGAAAUAUUGAAUUUGAAAUUAUGAAACUUCAAAUCUCAAAAAUGAGUUCGGGUCACAAAGCCACAACACAAAGUCACAAAGGAGAAAGCUCGGGUCGGGUCGGGUUAGGGGCUUCAGCCACGGCAGCAGAUGGCAGCAGCUCACGGCAGCAGCUCACGGUAGUAGAUCGCGGCAGCAUAUGGCAACAGUUCACGGCACAGAUCGCGGCAGCAGAUGGCAGCAGCUCGCGGCACAGAUCGCGACAACAGAUGGCAGCAGCUCGCGGCACAGAUCGCGACAGCAGAUGGCAGCAGCUCGCGGUACAGAUCACGACAGCAGAUCGCGGCAGCAGAUGGCAGCAGCUCGCGGCACAGAUCGCGGCAGCAAAUGGCAGCAGAUCGCCUGUUGGGUGUCGGUUUCGGCAGCAGAUUUGGUUUCGGCAGAGUCAGACUUCAGGCCUUUGGUUUCGGCAGCACUCAUAGCAGAUUGGUUUUGUUCUAUGUGUUGUUUGUGUGUUUCACAGUGUGUGAGUGUGUGUGAAUUGUUGUGAGCUAUGAGGUCCGUCUGCGUCUGGUGUGCAGUGUGCGUGUGUGUUGUAAAGUGUAAAGUGUAAUGGGUGAGUGAUUUUUUUUUUGGGAAGACCCGAUCGGGUAUUCGGAUCGGGUCGGGUUUAAACUGACCUGAUCACAACCCGAUCGGGUUGGCACUUCCUCAUCCGAUCGGGUUGCCAUAACAACCCGAUCCGACCCGAACCCGAUCUUUUUCAGGUCGGAUUGGGUCGGGUCGGAUCGGGUCGGGUAUUUUGCCCACCCCUAGUGUCGGCGGUAGGCUCCCACGCGCGGCAACAACGACGAAUCAAGCUUCCCAAGCAACAAGCUUUCUGGAGGUCGCAACAAUGGUUUCAGGUGGCAAGAUUGGUCAGAAAAUGAUGAGGGUGAGCUGAGGAUCAAGAUCCAAGCAAUGACGUCACCCAAAACGGAUGGAAUUAACAGCAAUGGUGGUGGGUUGAGCCGUAGUUCUUUCAAGCUAAAUCACUGACGUUAUAGCUGUUUUCCGAUGAUGAGGACAAUUGAAGUAUGAUGGCCGGUCCCCAAGCUUCAGAUUGCCACCAAGCUUGGCCAGUGGGGUGGCCAGAAACACAAGAUAUGGCCGGGUUGAUUUCAAGUCAAACGGGGUUGGGUUUUAAGUCGGUUUACAGCUUCUCUAACUCUCUCACACGUGUGUACAUGUUCUCAUGUUUCUAGCUUUUUCUUUUUCUUUUAUUUAUUUUUUAACCGCCUCACUUUUUUUUCACAUAUAUUACAGGUCUUGUUAGAAGCAAUGACAAGGUAGGAACAAGUAGAGGAGGACUAAUGAGAGUUGCCCCUUAUUCUCGUUUCAUGAGACCACCGCCAGUUCACCAAGACAGAAACCUAUCCUACCACCCACCAAACGAAAACCACCCGAGAGAACAUAAUCAGUCGCAUAACAACCAAAGACACAACACCCGGAUACACAACCAAACACAAAAUACUCGAUUCAAUAGACCAAAUCAAUUACCCUCAGCCCCUGUUCAUCAUGAUUUUUCAAGGGAUAGAAUGAUGCAAAUGAUCCAAGGAGAGUAAUGCUUAUGCUCGUUUUACACCGUUGAAGAUUCUGUUGAAAAAACUAUUUCAGGUGAUUAGGGAUCGAGGUCUUUUGUAUCCAUUAACACCCAUCUCAAAAGCUCCCAACAAACGAGAUAGAAAUAGGUUUAUGAGUUUCACAAUACCCAUGGCCACACUACAUCACAAUGUUGUGAUCUGAAGAACCAAGUGGAGGAUCUGGUGAGAAACCGCUAUAUCGAUGAGUAUAUUAUUGGAGCAUGUCCAGUAGUAGAUCAACAAUUCGAGCAGGAGAACACGAGUAAGGUAAUUCAAGAAGAGCCUGUGACCAAGGUCAUUGUAAGGAGCGAAAGAUUCUAAUAGAGCCUAGAAAAACUAUGGAAGAUAUGCGAUGACAAGUCAAAAGGUUCUCUUCAACGUACCAGUAGUAAAGAGGGUGAGAACAGACAAGUACCCAUCAUGUGGAUUGAGGAUUAUGAGGAAAAGAUUCUUUACCCACAAGAAGAUGCAAUAUUCUUUACCCACAAGAAGAUGCUUUGGCAAUAAAGGCCAAUGUGGCAGGUAAGCAAGCUCAAUAGGAUUCUGGUGGACUCAAGUAGUUCAGUGGACUUCCUCUUCAAAAACACCUUAGAUGAAAUAAGAAUUGCAUAUUUAAAGAUGGAGCACACUAGCACAUCCCUAAAAUGGUUCGGUGGUUGAAAAUUAAGACCUCUCGGAGUAGUCUUGAUGCUGGUGAAUAUAGGCAUGAAACUGUUUGAGAUAACUAUUAUGUUGGAUUUUAUGGUAGUCGAGGAAGAUAACCCUUACUAUAUGAUCUUUGGGAGACCAUUCAUGAGGAUUAGUAAAUGUGUGAUGUCCAAUCAUUAUAUGGCGCUCAAGUAUUAAGUGAAUAGAGCUGAAGGUAUGGUAAAAGGUAACUAGAGAAUUGAUAGGAAAUGUUACACGACAGCAGCCAAUGAGGCUAUGCAAAUAACCUCAUUAGACACAUGAGGAAACUCGUAGAAAGAAAGGCAGGAGCCGGUUGAGGAUUUAUAAGACAUAAGAAUAAAGCAAAACGAUCUUAAUAAAAUUAUGAAGAUUGGCUUAAACCUUGGGCAAGAGUUAAAGAAAAACCUAGUAAAUUGCGUGCAAACACAUUCCAAUGUGUUUGCUUGGUCACACGAGGACAUGUCGGGGAUUGAUCUAAGGAUUGCAUGUCAUAAGUUGGCCAUAAGUAAGGAUACAAGAGCAGUAAAAUAGAAGAGGAGAUGUUUUAACCAAAAGAGAUAUGACGUUAUAAACAAUGAAGUAGAAAAGCUGUUGCGAGCAGGGUUUAUCAGGGAAGUUAACUACCCCAAAUGGAUUUCCAAUGUGAUUCUGGUGAAGAAGGCCAAUAAAAAGUGGAGAAUGUGCAUUGGAUUUCACCAACCUUAAUAAAGCAUGUCCAAAUAAUAGUUUCCCACUACCCAAGAUUGAUCAAUCGGUCGAUUCUACAGCAGACCAUGGCCUGCUUAGUUUCAUGGAUGCACUUUCGGAUUACAAUCAAAUACCCAUGCUCGAGUAAGAUGAAGAACACACUGCUUUUAUCACUAAUUAAGGUUUUUUUUUUAUAGGGUUAUGCCCUUCAGCCUAAAAAAUAUAGGCGUUACAUAUUAGAGGCUGGUAAAUAAGAUAUUCAAGCCGCUGAUCAAGCGUACGAUAGAAGUGUAUGUAGAUGACAUGAUAACCAAGUCUAAAGACCCGAUCAAGCAUGUGAUGCACUUGAAGGAGACUUUCAAGCUACUCAGGAAAUACCAGAUGAAACUCAACCUAGAAAAAUAUUUGCUCGGCGUAUCCUUGGGAAAUUUUUUUGGCUCAUGGUGAGCCAUAGGGGAAUAGAAGCAAACAAGAAAAGAUCUGGGCUACUCUUUAGAUGAAAUUUCCUUGCAUAUUAAAAGAGAUCUAAAGCUUGUCAAGAAAGCUAAUAGCCCUAAACUGGUUCAUAUCAAAGGCAACAGAUAAAUGUCACAUUUUCUUCUGGGUUAUAAAGAAAGAAAAAAAGACUGGUGGACACAGGAGUGCGAACAGGCAUCAGUAACUGAAGGAAUACCUGCUCAGGGUUGUACUGUUGUCCACACCAUGAGAAUGUGAUACUUUGAGCUUAUAUCUCGCAGUAUUUCAGUGGACCAAGAGCUCAAUUCUGGUGAAAGAAGAGGCAUAAACCCAACAUCCGGUGUACUUUACUAGCAGGGUACUGCUGGAUACUGAGACUAGAUAUCUGAUGAUGGAAAAAUGGAGCCUUGGCUUUAGUCACAGCUAUUUGUAAGUUAAAGCCUUAAUUUCAGGCACUUUCAGUAGUUGUAAUGACAAAUCAAUCACUGCGACGGGCGUUGCACAAACCAAAGGCUUCUAGUCACUUGGUGAAGUGGUUGGUGGAGUUGAAUGAUUUUGAUAUAAGUUACAAACCCCGAGCAACAAUUAAGGAUUAGCCGAUUUCAUUGCUUAAUGCACAAAGUUAGGCAAAGAAGCUGGUUCUAAUCAGAGAGCGAGGGAAGAGAACACUACUAGAGUGUGGAUGGUAAUAGUGGAUGGAUCUUGUAGAAAACAAGGAUUGGGAACAUGGGUGAUUUUGGUUAGCCCAGAGGGUUUGAGUUCUCUUAUGCACUAAAGGUUUGAGUUCAAAGCAACCAACAACUAGGCAAAAUAUGAAGUCUUUAUCGCAAGAUUGAAGUUGGCCCUGGCAAUGCAAGCAGAUAAGGUUAAAGUUCAAACAUAAUCCCAACUCGUAGCCAACCAUGUCAAUGAAAGUUUCCAGGGAAAAGGUGAAGGGAUGGAGUUGUACUUAAAAAAAGGGUAAGCAAUUGAUGACGAAGUUUUAGGUUGUAAAGGUAAAGCUUAUACCACGGAUAGAAAAUUUUCGAGCUGAUAUCCUGGCAAGGAUGGCCACAAUGUCAGACGCAAAGAUGCUGAUAACUUUAUGAAAUGAGAGUUAUCAUGGUACGUUUAGACUUAAAUCAAUGUUACUUAGAUAAUAAAUGAUAAGAUUUCACGUUGUAGCAUUAUUGUAGCAUUAUUGUUGUAGCAUCAUUGCUGUAGCAAUUCUGUAGCAUUAACAGAGAAGAUUUUGCGAAAGAUACUUAGAAGAUUGCAAUCUGGAGUUUCUUAAAAUGGAAGAUACGCGACCUAGACUUCUGGUUGCCCUAAUUCUAACCUAUAAAAGGAGCACACACACAAAGAAAAGAUGAGAGCUGUCAUCAAAAGAGAAAAACUGAAAAAAAAAAUUCAAGAGAAAGAUUGAGGGCUGCACCAGAGGAGAAAACACAGAGAUCCAUUAAAAAUCGGUCUUUCUUGUUCUUUUCUUGUUUUCUAUUUAUUCAUGGGGAUGUAUUUAAUGGUUAAAAUUCUUUUAUUUAUUUUUCUUUCGCAAAUCAUGAAUUGAAUUUGAUUGUGGUUAAUUGAUAAACGAUCUUAAUGGAUGUUUGACUGACAUAUGCAUGUUGCUCUGUGUUUGCUGCAGUAGUUUGUCUUAAUUGUAUUUAUUUUACUUCCCUAUUUCGGUUGAUCACUCAUUUAAUGGAUACUAGCUAAAAAGGAGCCUAAAAAAGGUAUGACUUAGUGGAACAAAUUAAGACAAUACUUGGCUAUAGAUUAGGUUUACCAACUUGAGUUAAUCUCGAUUUGAAUAGGGUCAUAUUUGAUCUAAAAUUAGUGAAGAACUAAACAUAGAGAUUCACCUUGUAGGGUAAUUAGAACCUAGAAUGCAUAAUGAUAUAUCUAAUGUUAGCAUAACAACUUAUCACUGUUAUGUUACAUAUAGAUAUAAGAUAUCCAACAGGCGACAGCUGAGUAUGCAUGAGAGAUUAUGUCCAGUACUGUAAUAAAUGAUGUAGCAACAGGUUUUUAAUUAGAAAAAUAGUCAAAACCAUUAAGUGGGUUUAAUCACUCAACUACUCUUUUCUUAUUAAUUGCAUCUUCGUGUUUGAUUUAAAAUUUCUCUUAUUGCAUUUUUAAUUUAGUUGGUUUAUUAGUUUCUUUAAUUAUUUUAUUUUAAUUUAAUCUAAACUGCACUGUCAGAAUUGUUGUUGCAAAUCUGAUAACAUCAAUACCUGUGGAGACAAUCUUGAAUAUUUAUCAUUAUAUUAUUUAUUGUGUACACUUAUAUAUUAACACUCAUAGCAUUAGAAUUUACACACCAAAUGCCUAAGUAUGUUCCAAUGGAGGUCAAAACUUCGCCAAGCAUCGAGCAAGAAGCCAAAGUAAUGAAUAUUGAUGUAAAGAGAUCAUGGAUGGAUCCUAUUGUCUUGUAUAUCUGAGAAGGAACAUUGCCAGCAGAUAAAAAACAAGUAAGGAAACUCAAGUGCUAAGCAGCCAAAUAUAUAUUGAUUGACGGAGUAUUAUAUCGACGAGGAUAUACGUUGCCCUUUCUAAGAUGUUUAGAUGAGUAUGAAGCAAACUACGUGUUGAGGGAGGUACGUGAAGGAAUAUGUGGAAACCACUUUGAAGCAAGAUCUUUGGCCUUCAAAGUUUUAGGAUAGGGCUAUUUCUGGCCUACGAUGUAUCAGGAUGUAAAAAAAAAAAAGAUUGGGUGCAGCAAGAGCUGUGAAGAUUUUGCUAAUUACCCGAUACAACCGCCAGAAAAACUCACCACAAUGUUCUCAUCAGUGUAUAUAUGGGCAAUAAUCACUCGAUUUGCGUGAUUGUUCGGCACACCGAAAUACGAGCAAAAGCAUUAUUCCCAUGGCUUAUUUCUCUUAGCCCCCUUAUCAUUUAAUUAUUUCUGCUUCCCGUAUUACCAAUAUUUAGCCGUAUUAUUGUGGAAAUUUCAAAAUAGGACACAGGUAAGGCAACCAAUCAUCAUCCUUCACAUUUUCAAUGUGUGGACUGAUUGAAGAUAUUUUGGAUGAAAGACGUACCACAAAAGAUCCACAACGUGGACAUUGUUGUGCGUGGAAUGCGGAAUCAAGCGCACCAAAUAAUUACUGAAAAAUAAAGGACACAAGAAUUUACGUGGUUCGGUAAUUAAACCUACAUCCACAGAGGCAAGAAAGAAUAAUUGUUUAUUAAACAAUUAAUAGAAUACAAUAUUUGAGUAACGAAUCUCACUUCCCAGAAACCCAAAUAUACCCAGUACUCUCACACUCUGCAGGAAAGAUAAAUUCCCCAGACACACUUCUCUCACUUCUCUCAAAAGCUUAGAAACUUAUAAGCUUAACAAUUUUGGGAUUAUUUCAAAUGAAUGAAAUCCUUAGCUAUUUAUAGGAAAAUUGUUGGCACUAUGCAAAGAAUAAAAUAAUUGAAAAUAUAAUAAAUUAUUAUUAUUAUUUUCAAUACAUCCCCUUUUUCCAUUCUUUCUUUUCGGCUAACAAAACCAUUUUGGAUUUUGCUUCUCAAAGGUUGCCAAAUUGGCUUUGGCUGGCUGCUUUUUCAACAAUUCUCCACCUCGGCGAAGAUUUAGCCAAAUCUGAGCCGACUACCAACUAACCCUCACAUGAUCCUCAAAAGGAUCCACAUUGGCUGCAUCUAUCCGACUGCCUACGUACCCCAAGGUUGGGAUCAAGCCUACCGUAGUUCCAAACAUCCCCCACAUGAUCCUCAAAAGGAUCCACAUUGGCUGCAUCUAUCCGACUGCCUACGUACCCAAAAUUUGGGAUCAAGCCAACCGUAGUUCAAAAAUGAUCCGUAUAAAGAUUUACUCAAUCUGUACACAUGAUUUUCCUUUUCCAGCAACUCUGAAACCACAAGGCUGAAUCAUAGAUAUUUCCUCCUCCAAAUCUCCAUGUAAGAACGCCGUCUUCACAUCCAACUGAGCCAACUCUAACUCAUACUCUGUAACUAAGGCAAGUAGGAUACGAAUGGAAGUAUGUUUUACAACUGGAGAGAAAACUUCAUUGUAGUCAAUACCUUCCUUUUGAGCAAAACCUUUUGCCACGAGCCUUGCCUUGUAUCGAGGAGUUGUUUGAUUCGGAGAUCCUUGCUUUUUGGUGUAGACCCAUUUAUUGCCAAUAGCCCUUUUCCCCUUUGGUAACUUUACAAGUUCCCAAGUCUGGUUUUGAUUGAGAGAUUUCAUCUCUUCCUCCAUGGCUAGCUUCCACUGAUCACUUUCAUUGUUGCGUAAUGCUUCACCGAAAGUAUUGGGGAUGUCAUCAUCAAUAACUGGAAGUGCAUAGGCUACCACCAUAUCUUUAGUAAGCCAUCCGGGUUUCUUUAUCUCUCUUCUUGGCCUCCUUGUUGCUAUAAAAUCAUCAUCAUCUACAUCAUCAAUUGUUUCUUCAUUUUGUGGGACAUCAGAAGAAACAACUUCUGUGAAAGCCAGAAUCAUUGUUAAUUCAUGGGCAACUGGAAGAGAUCCCAUGUAUUGGACCCAGCCCGAGAGCUUUAUUCCCGAAAGAUUCAUUGACCAUUCUGUUGACUUCAAGGGGUCUAAUUUUGAGUACAUCCCGUUUGGUGCUGGUAGGAGGAUAUGCCCUGGAAUGUUGUACGGUCUGGCAAAUGUUGAGUUUCCACUCGCGAUGUUAUUGUACCACUUUGACUGGAAACUCCCAAACGGAAUGAACCAUGAAGAUUUGGAGAUGACUGAGACUUUUGGAGUGACAGUUAGAAGAAAACAAGAUCUGUGCAUGAUUCCUACUCCAUACCAUCAUUCAUCUGUUGCAUAGGCCAAAAAUGAAAAGUCGUGGCAAUUCUUGUCCAACAUGAAUAAGUGCUGUAAUCUUCAUAUUCUAUUUCAUGCAAGGUUUUUCAAUGCAUCUUCUGCAAUUGCUUACCUCAAUUGCGCUGUGUUAUUUUAUAUAUAUAUAUAUUUUUUCACCUCAACUUAGAAAAACAAAUGUCCACUGAUAUAACAAACGCAAAAUCAUCGCAUUCGCUCCCCAGAGAGCCUCGUUUUAAGCCUUCAGCUUAUAGCUUUCUCGUUUAUGUGCAAUUUCCUGGUGGUAUAUUUUACUUUAGGUACCUUGUGAUGCACUUUACUGAAUGCUAAUAAUUCCAUCUCAAAGAAUUGUAUUUUGAAAGUGAAUUCCAGUACAAGAUUUACGAGGAGCGUUUACCGUGUUAUGAAUAGAUAACAUAUCAAUGAUGAAGAACUUCCGGCUGACAGAUACACCACAAAUAAAAUUAUUCCAGUAACUAAACUAUUGUUUAGUUAUUGGUAAAGAAAUCACACUCUAUUCAAUCAUUAGUUAGCGUAGAACUCAAUUUUUUUUUUUCAACUCAGAAAAAAUUAAUCCCGUUUGCUGCUGUACGGCCAAGGCGGAUGUACGGUACAGCAGGACUUCUCUCCUGCAUGUCCCAGUCGUACAUGCCAUAGCUUGGUGGUGUCACUGUGCGCCUCAACAACAUUUGCUUCAUCAGUUGUACCUCCCUUCAAAUAGUACAGAUUGUGACGCCGAACCCCUUGCAGAAUCACCAUAGCCCCAUGUGUAAACUUCAUUGUGCCAUUUUCAAUGGUAACCUUGUAGCCUUUAGCUUCCAAAGCACCUACAGAAAUUAGAUUUUUCUUUAUCUCUGGAACAAAUCUAACCUCUUUGAGUUCUCUGAUCAUUCCAUCAAACAUUUUGAGCCGAAUUGUUCCUAUCCCCAUUGUGCGACAAGGUUUAUCAUUCCCCAUCACAACUGCCCCGGAUUCCAGAUUACGAAAAUCUGCAAACCAUUCCUUAAUAGGACACAAAUGAUAGGUUGCUCCAGUAUCAAGUAUCCACUCACUCGAACUAGCCACACAUGCUGCAGGAGUGAUACUUAAUGAAUAAUCAGAAUCCUCAUCUUUCCGUGCCAUGUUUGCUACUGCUGGUUUCUUCCCAUCUCUCUUUUGAGCCUUUGGACAAUCUUUCCUCCAAUGGCCCUUUUCAUGACAAAAGGCACACUCAUCUCGAGCUAUAUUUCUGCUUCUCGAUUUGGAUCGAGAAUUCUUUCCACCACGCUUUAUUGGUCAAAAUUUGGUAUUAAAAUACAAAUUAUUAAACCUAACAAGUACCCACCACCAAGUUAGCAAAAGUACCUAAAUGCCCUGCUGAAGCUGCAACAUGAAGAGAAGUGGUCAAUCCAUCAUCCAUCUCGAGCAGCGACACCGAUGGAUAGUUGAGCAGCUGCUUGACAACAUCAUGCCUCCCUCUCUCAUACGCCACAUAAAGCGCACUCUCCUUGUUUCUAUUCAUCAUAUGGACCACCCAAGAAUCAGUCUCCAGAAAGAACCGCACAAUGUGUAGCCUCCCUUCUCUUCAUGCUUCAUGCACUGGAGUCUCAAAUUUGUCAUUGGGUGCCGCCAACAUCUCCGGACACAGCUUCAAAAUCUCCAACGCCAACUCUUCGUGCUCAUAACGAGAUGCUAAGUGUAGGAUUGUGUUCGAAGAUCCUGGAACAGUUUGCUUGAUUAUUGCUUCAUCUUCAUGAACCAGAUUCAGAAAAUUUGGUACGUCCCCUUUGAGUAUGGUCUCAAACAGGCGUUCGUCCAUUUGUCAAUAACUGAAGUUGCAGCUAGCAAGCUACGAGGAAUUGGCUUGAUAAGAGGGGAAUUUAAAUAUUUAAUGAUAAAGAGACAGCAAGGCUUUGUUUUAAUUUCCAACAGAUUACGAAAUUUCUCUGUGAUUGCAUAGGCACUAGCAGUAGGGUCUUUUUAAAUUUCUCCAAAAAAUAAAUAAUUCUGCUGUACCGUACAUCCGCCUUGGCCGUACAGCGUAUCCCCCCAAGUACGAACCGUCGGCUCUGAUACCACUUGUUGUGCGCGGAAUGCGGAAUGCGGAAUCAAGCGCACCAAAAAUUAUUGAAAAAUAAAGGACACAAGAAUUUACGUGGUUCGGUAAUUAAACCUACAUCCACGGAGGUAAGAAAGAAUAAUUGUUUAUUUAACAAUUAAUAGAAUACAAUAUUUGAGUAACGAAUCUCACUUCCCAGAAACCCAAAUAUACCCAGUACUCUCACACUCUGCAGGAAAGAUGAAUUCCCCAGACACACUUCUCUCACUUCUCUCAAAAGCUUAGAAACUUAUAAGCUUAACAAUUUUGGGAUGAUUUAGAAUGGAAGAAGUGCCAUCUAUUUAUAGGGAAAAUAAUGACACUAUUGCACCAACCCUUUUACUAUUCCACCUAACCUAAGCAAAUAGUCAAUGGUGUCCAUUUGGCAAAUUUGACAAAUUUGCCAACUUUCUAUUUUUUCUUCAAAUGUUUGGUAGCUCUUUGAAAAAUUGCCACAUGCUUGACAAAUUCUCCAAAUUUGAAUUCAAC
rnacentral:lncRNA from 1 species